UAAUAUGGCUGAGUGUUUUAGCGGUGGGUUGUAACCCCAUAGACAGAGGUUUAAUUCCUCUUCUUAU
rnacentral:tRNA from 1 species